rnacentral:tRNA from 1 species
UCCCUGGUGGCUCAGUUGGUAAAGAGCCUGUCUAUAAUGCAGGAGACCUGGGUUCGAUCCCUAGGUUGGGAA